UACGUAGGGUCCGAGCGUUGUCCGGAAUUAUUGGGCGUAAAGGGCUCGUAGGCGGUUUGUCGCGUCGGGAGUGAAAACUCAGGGCUCAACCCUGAGCGUGCUUCCGAUACGGGCAGACUAGAGGUAUGCAGGGGAGAACGGAAUUCCUGGUGUAGCGGUGGAAUGCGCAGAUAUCAGGAGGAACACCGGUGGCGAAGGCGGUUCUCUGGGCAUGACCUGACGCUGAGAAGCGAGAGCAUGGGGAGCGAACAGG
rnacentral:rRNA from 1 species